UCUUCUCCCCCCCUUAGAAUUAAACUUGCACAUUUAAAAUAUGACUAUGCUAUUAAAAUUACAAAACGGUUGCUAAUGGUUAAAAUAAACCUACAGAGAGAGAGAGAGAGAGAGAGAGAGAGAGAGGAGGAGGCUAUGUUAGGCGAAUACACGUUUACCUGGCGUCAGAACAAACCGAUUUCUCUCAGAAACUCAACUUAAACUAUCUUAUGAUAAUAUAUCAAAGACAGAGCUUUAACUAAGUGACUCGGCGGUUAUAAAUAAGCCACAGAAUAUUCAUUUUCAAUCAGAAAGCAUUAAACCCUCGUCGAAAAAAAAAAAUGAAUGAAGGGCCUAAUAUUAUGAAUCAAGCUCUCGUAACUACCUGCGUUUAUAGCCACUUGAUUCGUUCACUAAUAGCAGAUGAUCCAGCCGCCAGAUGGUGGUUUGUGCUUUACUUGCAGCCCACAUUAACAUUGUAUAAUUUUGUUUAAUUAAACACAAUUAUAGUUAUGAUAUUUGACUGCAUUGAGGUAUGAAAAAUAAUUAAAAGCAGUGACCGACGGUGUCUCAUUAAAAAAAAAAAAAAGUUAUCAUAUUUAAGACGCUUCUCGGCCAUAUCUGCAAUUUCUUUGGUAGGCUAAUCACGAAACGGCAAACUGUUGAGUUGAGAGACUAAUAAUAAUAAUAAUAAUAAUAAUAAUACAAUUGAAAUGUGUGUAUAACCUACUACAUAAUUUGCGUUUUAAAAAUAGCUUCGACAUAUUUUAAGAAGAAUAUAAGAAAAACGUAACAUGUAUAAUUUUAAAGAAUCAUUUUAAUUAUGUGUUUUUUCUAAAAUAAUGAUGAUGAUGAUGAUGAUGAUAAUAAUAAUAAUACACAAAUUGUUAUAUAAUCUGCAUGCUCUCUCCGUCAUUUAAAUUAAAAUGAAUUCAGAUAAAUAUGAAACAGUAGCUAUAUUAAAUCUCCAUGCAUUCGUGAACAACUGAAUUUAUUGUGAACACGGGAACCCGUAGACUUUAAUAAACAUCUUAACUCAAUGAUAUCGCAGACAGAUUGAAUGCAAUCAUAAAGUAAAUAGGCCUAUGUCAAAUAUAAAUCUGGAAUAGCAGAACACUGGUUGUUCAAAACAAUGAGAGAAAACAAGUUAUACGUGAAAUAAGGGAAAGUAUUUAAUGAGCGCUUGUGUUUUAAGGAUUGUGAUCAGGCCUUUCACACUCUCCAACACAAAAACGAAACUAUAAUCUCUCAGAGGACGCCUUUAAAUGUAGGCCUAAAUAAAAGAAAGUCUUAAGUGUGUGGUUUGAACGUUCAAGAGAGUUGUCGUGUCACUAUACUGACCUCCAACACAAACCCGAAUUUAUCUUGAAUGACCAACAACAAAAAGACGAAAAGCGACAGUCUGACCUGUUAAUAGCGAUUCUCGCAAGUCAUCGCGUGCUACAGAAGUUCAGAGGUGUGCUUGAGAAAAUAUCGAGGCCCACUUUUCUGUCCCAAAACAAACUGAGUAGGCUGUACGUUCUCCCGGCAAUUUGAAUCAACAGGUCACAGGCCCACGCGUGCUUUCCUGCAUAUAUUCAGAUAGGCUGCUAAAAUGUCUUGAUAUUUUAAUGCGUGUCGCAUCUAACAUAUGGCCAAUGAAACAUAUAGCAUUAUGAAAACUGUGCACUGUUGCAUCUGUUUCAACACACCGCUUGUUUAAGCUAUCUUCAGAUAAAAAUAAAUGCAUUUGGAUAAAUCGUUUUCUUUUGGAAGCAGAUAUUAAAACAUCGUAUAGCUCGAUAUUUACUUCGUUACAAUUGUCCGUAAAUACUAAAAAAUGACCAGGCUAUGUAGCCAUUUAAUACGUAACAAUAAAAAGAAGCCUUUUCCAAUGAAUCGGACGAGCGAUGACUGUGCCCACAUUGCAGGGAAUAAUCGCAUGCAAAAGUUUCACGGACACUUAAUGUAAGAAAAUAGUUGGAGUGCAAACUCCUGCCUAUUACAAACAAGUCGGAAUACAAAUGGAAGCCAAACAAACAAUAAGCAAAGACAUCAUGCAGAGUCCAGAGGAGAUUUACACACUUUUUCCUCGCCUUUGAAAGAGUCCAGAAAAUAGCAGACUCUAUUUUCUUCAAUAUGACAUGUAUGCAUUAUUGAUUUGCCAUUCGCAGAUGAAACCGCAUACCGAGCCGCAACAGACCCCAGAGGACAAAGAUUCCUAAACGCGAGCUCCUAAUUUAAGAUUAUCGCCAGAAUUGUCCAUUUCGCGUGAUAUUCCUUCUUCUAUGGCAUCCAGCGGACAGGCAGAAAGCUCUGGAGAUCUCCACACUCUCUCUGUGCGUCCUGGGGUCCAUGAGCAGUGCUACAGCGCCCACUAUUUCAACAAGCAGGAAUAUGAUUUCACAAGACCUGGAACCACUCAAUAAAAAAGUUACUAUCCCUUUCGACAACUCUUCGCUAACUUUCGUGUAACAAUUCUCUACGGUUUCUCGACUUCGCUAAAACAAGAGAGUGAAACAACGCGGCGUGGAAACGCGCUCCUGACCAUUUCAGCCAAAGCACCAUCACAUAUACAAGAAACUUCUGAACAAGCACACCACGGCAGCAUCUGGUCUAAAGGGUGGACGCCGCGGAUCACGGAGAGUUUGAGCGAUUUCAACGCAAUUGAGAGCUGAAAAACAAACGCACCGGACAAAGACGCGCUCUCAGCAGGAACUGAUCAAUGAAAAUGACACUUUGGUGAUGUGCGCUAGGGUUCAAAGUACCGCGCGGCCGCUCGGGAGCGAAAGAAGCGCAAGAAGGACCUACUUUUGGCCAGUUUUCUCGCCCUCGCCUUGGAUCUCAUCUUGUCGGCUUGUAGAUUCCUCGCGUCCUCCUUGAGCUCAGAAGCAGCAGCAGCGCUAUCUUCAUCUCACGAGCAUUAUCACUUAUCUCUUUCCCUCCUCCUCCACUCGCUCCGCAACAUCUCGGAUCUCCCCCCACCUCCCCUUCUUGAGCUCUUGAGGAGGAAUAAGUGCUAUUUUCCAGGGACCUGCGGAAUCCGGCGCGACGCUGGACAUUGGAUCCUGGAUGGGGUCAAGGUCGCAGCCCUCGUACGCAAGAUUGUUGCCAUUUUCCUGUGGUUUAGCACAGGAAGGGAGGGAUGCUGGCCCAGACCCCGGAAGAGAGGUGUUCUGCAAACCAGGCCUCAGUAACAUCCACCUUGAGAACUGCUGUCACAGACGGAGUUUUUGUCCUCUCAAAAAAUUAAGGACAGAAUUUAAGAGGUUUGUCAAUUGAGUAUCAAAUCAACAACUAGCCUAAGUAAAUCCCUGUAAUUUUAAACGUAUUAACCCAUGAUAUGUGUGAAUAUGUCUACAGUUGUAAGUGAAUUUUUAUUAAACAUACUAAGUCAAAUAAAAUGUAUA